CACGUAGGGGACGAGCGUUGUCCGGAUUCAUUGGGCGUAAAGCGCGCGUAGGCGGCUCGGCAAGUCGGUCGUGAAAUGCCGGGGCUCAACCCCGGGACUGCGUCCGAUACUCCCGAGCUGGAGGCAGGUAGGGGAGAUCGGAAUUCCUGGUGUAGCGGUGAAAUGCGCAGAUAUCAGGAGGAACACCGGUGGCGAAGGCGGAUCUCUGGGCCGAUACUGACGCUGAGGAGCGAAAGCGUGGGGAGCGAACAGG
rnacentral:rRNA from 1 species